rnacentral:antisense_RNA from 1 species
CUUCAACGAGCCCAACCACAACGGACGUUCGCCAUCGCGCCCCUGGCCGUAGGUCGCCAGCAGCGCCUGCGCCUC